rnacentral:rRNA from 1 species
AAGCAUUAUACCGUGAAACUGCGAAUGGCUCAUUAAAUCAGUUAUCGUUUAUUUGAUAGUACCUUACUACUUGGAUAACCGUGGUAAUUCUAGAGCUAAUACAUGCUGAAAACCCCAACUUCGGGAGGGGUGUAUUUAUUAGAUAAAAAACCAACGCCCUUCGGGGCUUCUUGGUGAUUCAUGAUAACUUCACGGAUCGCAUGGCCUUGCGCCGGCGACGGUUCAUUCAAAUUUCUGCCCUAUCAACUUUCGAUGGUAAGGUAUUGGCUUACCAUGGUUUCAACGGGUAACGGGGAAUUAGGGUUCGAUUCCGGAGAGGGAGCCUGAGAAACGGCUACCACAUCCAAGGAAGGCAGCAGGCGCGCAAAUUACCCAAUCCCGACACGGGGAGGUAGUGACAAUAAAUACUGAUACAGGGCUCUUUUGGGUCUUGUAAUUGGAAUGAGUACAAUUUAAACCUCUUAACGAGGAACAAUUGGAGGGCAAGUCUGGUGCCAGCAGCCGCGGUAAUUCCAGCUCCAAUAGCGUAUAUUAAAGUUGUUGCAGUUAAAAAGCUCGUAGUUGAAACUUGGGCCUGGCUGGCAGGUCCGCCUCACCGCGUGUACUUGUCCGGCCGGGCCUUUCCUUCUGGAGAACCUCAUGCCCUUCACUGGGUGUGUUGGGGAACCAGGACUUUUACUUUGAAAAAAUUAGAGUGUUCAAAGCAGGCCUUUGCUCGAAUACGUUAGCAUGGAAUAAUAGAAUAGGACGUGCGGUCCUAUUUUGUUGGUUUCUAGGACCGCCGUAAUGAUUAAUAGGGACAGUCGGGGGCAUCAGUAUUCAAUUGUCAGAGGUGAAAUUCUUGGAUUUAUUGAAGACUAACUACUGCGAAAGCAUUUGCCAAGGAUGUUUUUCAUUAAUCAGUGAACGAAAGUUAGGGGAUCGAAGACGAUCAGAUACCGUCGUAGUCUUAACCGUAAACUAUGCCGACUAGGGAUCGGG